GCUCUUCUUCCUGCAGACGCGCAGCCCCCCGGUGCUGCCCGCGCUGCCGCGGCUGCGUGAGCUGGCAGGGGCCGACGAGCGCAGUGUGGUGGAGGGCUGGGACUGCAGCUUCCCCCGCGACGCCUCCCGCCUGGGCAGCAGCUCCAACACGGAGAGCGCGGGCUCCCUCCUGGCCCAAUUCUUC